UUGUGUUAUUCGUGAUGACUGGGCGUAGGGUACGUAGGCGGAUAGUCAAAAUUAUAGUUAAAGACUGAGGUUGACCCUCUUUGUGCUAUAUUCACUAGCUAUCUUGAGUUUUAAAGGCGAUAGUGAAUCCUUUAAGUAAGGGUUAAAUUGUUGAUAUUAGGAGACAUUCGAAGGCGAAAGCAAUGAUCGAUUUAAAUCUGACGCUAGGUACUAAAGCAUGGGUAUGAAAAGGAUUAGAGACCUUGUAGUCCAUGCCGUAAACUAUGAGUGUUCAACGUCCUUUUGUGACUUGUCUACGGAACAAUGUAGCAUAUGCAUAAAAGGGGGUUUGAAGCUAACGCGUAAAACACCGCCUGGGGAAUGUGGCCGCAAGGUUAAACUCAAAGGAAUUGACGGAGACUUAUACAAGGGGUGGAGAUGUGGUUUAAUUCGAG
rnacentral:rRNA from 1 species